rnacentral:rRNA from 1 species
CCGAGCGUUAUCCGGAUUUAUUGGGGUUAAAGGGUGCGUAGGCGGCCUAUUAAGUCAGGGGUGAAAGACGGUAGCUUAACUAUCGCAGUGCCUUUGAUACUGAUAGGCUUGAAUGUACUUGAGGUAGGCGGAAUGUGACAAGUAGCGGUGAAAUGCAUAGAUAUGUCACAGGACACCAAUUGCGAAGGCAGCUUACUAAAGUAUGAUUGACGCUGAGGCACGAAAGCGUGGGGAUCAAACAGG